AUUGAACGCUGGCGGCAUGCCUUUCACAUGCAAGUCGAACGGCAGCACGGGAGCAAUCCUGGUGGCGAGUGGCGAACGGGUGAGUAAUAUAUCGGAACGUGCCCAGUCGUGGGGAUAACGUAGCGAAAGCUACGCUAAUACCGCAUACGAUCUAUGGAUGAAAGCGGGGGAUCGCAAGACCUCGCGCGAUUGGAGCGGCCGAUAUCAGAUUAGGUAGUUGGUGAGGUAAAGGCUCACCAAGCCGACGAUCUGUAGCUGGUCUGAGAGGACGACCAGCCACACUGGGACUGAGACGCGGCCCAGACUCCUACGGGAGGCAGCAGUGGGGGAAUAUUUGGACAAUGGGCGAAAGCCUGAUCCAGCAAUGCCGCGUGAGUGAUGAAGGCC
rnacentral:rRNA from 1 species